AUUGAACGCUGGCGGCAUGCUUUACACAUGCAAGUCGAACGGUAACAGGUUAAGCUGACGAGUGGCGAACGGGUGAGUAAUGCAUCGGAACGUGCCCGAUCGUGGGGGAUAACGCAGCGAAAGCUGCGCUAAUACCGCAUACGAUCUGAGGAUGAAAGCGGGGGACCGUAAGGCCUCGCGCGAUCGGAGCGGCCGAUGUCAGAUUAGGUAGUUGGUGGGGUAAAGGCUCACCAAGCCGACGAUCUGUAGCUGGUCUGAGAGGACGACCAGCCACACUGGGACUGAGACACGGCCCAGACUCCUACGGGAGGCAGCAGUGGGGAAUUUUGGACAAUGGGCGCAAGCCUGAUUCAGCAAUGCCGCGUGCAGGAAGAAGGCCUUCGGGUUGUAAACUGCUUUUGUACAGAGCGAAAAGGCUCUCUCUAAUACAGGGGGCUCAUGACGGUACCGUAAGAAUAAGCACCGGCUAACUACGUGCCAGCCGCCGCCGUAA
rnacentral:rRNA from 1 species